UCUUUGAUUCGGCGUUAGUUUGAGUUAUCAAAGAUUUGAAUUACUUAGGGUCGGAAUACAAUAAAAAACAAAUAUUUUCGAACUGAUCAAUUUCUCUCGUAGGUUCGAGUUAUUAUCCAGUUAAAUUCACAAAUGGCUGCAUCGAUGUCAAUGCUGUCAAUCAUUCUGCUGCUAGUGCGAUACGUCGAUGCAAAUUACUGCGAUGGCUUUUUCAAGAUGCCGAAUUCCAUGUUACAAAUGUUUAAGACAAUAACUACAACCGAGAAAGACUGUGUCGAGUGAUAUGCAGACGAAACAGCGCUUGUUAAUCGAUCAACUACAUCCGUGAAAAGUCGCAAUGUGAGUUGAAUAGCGAUACCCGUUUUGCGUUCCCUGGACACUCUUUUCCUGGCGCAGCGGCUGGCGCGUACUACGCUAUAGUGAAACCAGUGACCAAGUACAGUAACAUGCACUGUAGCAGUGGUAUGACGUGCAAGAUGCGAGAAGGCGGAAAGACAUACAAGUGUGAAGUAAUCCUUGUUUAAGCGGAGGGGCUUGUACUGAUGGAAACAAUGGCUUCACGUGCACUUGUCCCGCUGGUUACAUGGGAAGCAAAUGCGAAACUGGGACGUCCAUCACAUGUUCCGGUGGAACGGCGGGACUGUCCUGUCCACAAAACACUGUCUUGGACAUCCAGUGGGCCUUGUACGCCAGGCCCGCCCGAGAGCCGUGUCCCCAUUCGGCCAACUACAUCUGCAACGUACAAUAUCCCCAGACCCUCGCCAAGGUGCGAGAGUACUGCCAAGGGAAGCGGUCGUGUAGUUUUUAUGUUAGUAAUGACGCAUUGGUAGGAUUCGAUCCUUGUCCUAAUAAGUAUAAUUAUCUCGAGGUUCGCUAUGCUUGCAUAUCUUAAAAACACCAUGUGCCAAACGUUUUAUCGUUAACCUGUAUUGCACGUUUUUCAUCAUCGCACGAAAUAUCCUUAGCGUCGCUCGAUUGCCUUUUCAUACCACAUGUUCAUCAAGGUGAAAUUCAUCAUUGUUGUUUGACAACCAUCACAAUUAUUAAAUAAUUGUUAUUGACAGGCGAGUCACGCUAAAUUAUGUUAACGUGCAAUACUCGUUAACGAUGUAACUUUUGGCAUAAAUGAAUGUCCUUUUACCAUUAAUGAUACGCAAGGUGUUGUAAUUGGUGAAGUCAAACCAUAUCAUAAAUGUGUGUGCAAACAUCUUAAUCAUGCACAUGACAGCUGGCUUCUUGUAAAGUUGUUAAACAACCGACAAUGGGGCUUGAUAUAAAAACACAUCGUUGAUUACUCAUUUUUUAUGUCAAUUUUUAAUGUAUGUAUCACUUUGCAUGAUGAAUAAUAAAGUACUUGAAUCUUCA